UCUUGGAACACAUGUCUUGGGAGCCCUUAUUGCCACCACGUAAAAGUCUGGCUGCCCUGAUGGUGCCAUGCUGGAGAAAUCAUGAGGAGAGACCACACAAAGAAAGAUGUCCAAGGAGACUUGGCUGUCCCAUCCCCCCCAGCUGUUCAAGUCUUCUUUGCCUAGGACUUACAGGAGUCCAGAAGCCUUUAAGAUGCCCAGACACCAUCUGACUGCAACUUCACAUGAGAACCUGAGCCAGAACCACUCAACCAAGCUGCUACUGAAACUAUGAGAGAUGACAAGUGACUAUUAUUGCUUUAGCCAAUAAGUUUUGGAGUGUUUGAUCUAUGUUAGCAUCAACCGAUAACUAAUACAGAUUUCGGUACCUGUAAGUGGGGAGGGGUGGGGGAGGUAUGGCUGUAACAAAAAACUAAAAACACAGCAGCUUUGAGGCUUUGAGGACAGAAGUUGGAAGCGUAUGGAAGAAACUGUGGAAUCUGAUGUUCUUCAAGGAGGCCACCUACAAGGGCUUAAAGUAAGGAAGGGCUUAAAGUAAGGAAGAUCAUGUUGCAAGAUGGAGGGAAAGGGAUCUUUGUUAGAUAAUGUGUUACUCUGCUCAGGCUGCCAGGACAAAAUACCACAGACUGGGUGGUUUACACAAUGAAAAUUUAUUUCUCACAAUUCUGAAGGCUGGAAGUCCAAGAUCAAGGGGCCAGCCAAUUCAGUUCCUGCCCACAGAUCAAGAGGAACUCUACAGGAAGAGCUGUAUUUGAGAAAUUCGUCCGGGGAGCCUCAUCUGAACCUGGACCUGAUUAGAUGACAAGGCCUAGGACUUCAAGUUGAUGCUGCAGCGUAAUGAGACGUGGGGACCUUGGAAAGAGAACAGCUCUCUGUUAAAGCUACCUUUGCCUGCCAGAGGAAUCAAAGAAUCCAAAGUGUCUCAAAACGGGGCCGGAAACACGCAUUAAGGAACAACAUGGAGAGACAAUGCAGGCCAACUGCUCUGAUGGGGACUCUCAAUACCUCUGGAGAGGGGACUUCCCCGGGACUACAGCUGUUCAAGAAUAACUGCAGAGAGCCAGGUGGGAGGUCGUUUGCAAAAACAACACAGCCUGUAAAAUAGAAUGGAAUGACAUAAAAGAAAAUAACACCAUAUGAAAUAAAAUAAUAAAAUGGCCAAGCUAAAUUAAUGUCAGAGGACCCAACACCCACUCUUAGUCUCAGAGUAUCCACCUGUCCAGCCCUAGCCAGUUGACGUGGUCCACCCAGGCCCUC